rnacentral:rRNA from 1 species
UACGUAGGGUGCGAGCGUUGUCCGGAAUUAUUGGGCGUAAAGAGCUCGUAGGCGGUUUGUCGCGUCUGCUGUGAAAACCUAAGGCUCAACCUUGGGCUUGCAGUGGGUACGGGCAGACUAGAGUGCGGUAGGGGUGACUGGAAUUCCUGGUGUAGCGGUGGAAUGCGCAGAUAUCAGGAGGAACACCGAUGGCGAAGGCAGGUCUCUGGGCCGAUACUG